AGGGAGUUCUAAUACAUGCAGCUCGAGCGAACAGAGAAGGAGCUUGCUCCUUUGACGUUAGCGGCGGACGCGGUGAGUAACACGUGGGCAACCUACCUUAUAGUUUGGGAUAACUCCGGGAAACCGGGGCUAAUACCGAAUAAUCUGUUUCACCUCAUGGUGAAAUAUUGAAAGACGGUUUCGGCUGUCGCUAUAGGAUGGGCCCGCGGCGCAUUAGCUAGUUGGUGAGGUAACGGCUCACCAAGGCGACGAUGCGUAGCCGACCUGAGAGGGUGAUCGGCCACACUGGGACUGAGACACGGCCCAGACUCCUACGGGAGGCAGCAGUAGGGAAUCUUCCACAAUGGGCGAAAGCCUGAUGGAGCAACGCCGCGUGAGUGAAGAAGGAUUUCGGUUCGUAAACUCUGUUGUAAGGGAAAAACAA
rnacentral:rRNA from 1 species